UUUCCAAUUAAUUUUUGUUCAUCAUCUUGUAAUGUCAUCUCAUCAAUCUUUUCUUCAAGAAUUUCAGCAUCAUCAUCAAAAUUAACUCUCUUGCUAGAAGAGAUAUCACUAGAAUCAUCAAAAACAACAUGUAUGGAUUCUUCUAUAACUAGGGUUUGUUUAUUAAAGACUCUGUAGGCUUUACUAGUUGUAGAGUACCCCAAGA
rnacentral:lncRNA from 1 species